UCCUAAUACUACUCUCGCCCAAGCACGCUUUAACUUCGGAGUUCUGAUGGGAUCCGGUGCAUUAGUGCUGGUAUGAUCGCACCC
rnacentral:rRNA from 1 species